rnacentral:rRNA from 1 species
AGAACGCAGCGAAAUGCGAUAAGUAAUGUGAAUUGCAGAAUUCAGUGAAUCAUCGAAUCUUUGAACGCACAUUGCGCCCCUCGGUAUUCCGGGGGGCAUGCCUGUUCGAGCGUCAUUGCACCAUUCAAGCGUAGCUUGGUAUUGGGUCCUUCGCCGGGGGUCACCCCCGGCGUGCCCGAAAAGCAUUGGCGGUCCGGUGUGACUUUAAGCGUAGUAAANUCUUCUCCCGCUUUGAAAGCCUCGCACCGUGGCCGGCCAGACAACCCCCCAUAUUUCUCACGAUUGACCUCGGAUCAGGUAGGGAUACCCGCUGAACUUAAGCAUAUCAAUAAGCGGAGGAAAAGAAACCAACAG